rnacentral:rRNA from 1 species
CAGUAGCCGCGGUAAUACGUAGGGGGCAAGCGUUGUCCGGAAUUAUUGGGCGUAAAGGGAGCGCAGGCGGACAUAUAAGUCCAUCUUAAAAGUUCGGGGCUUAACCCCGUGAUGGGAUGGAAGCUGCUGAUCUAGAGUAUCGGAGAGGAAAGUGGAAUUCCUAGUGUAGCGGUGAAAUGCGUAGAUAUUAGGAAGAACACCAGUGGCGAAGGCGACUUUCUGGACGAAAACUGACGCUGAGGCGCGAAAGCCAGGGGAGCGAGCGGGAUUAGAUACCCGGGUAGUCCCUGUCUCUUAUACA